AUCGCUUCUCGGCCUUUUGGCUAAGAUCAAGUGUAGUAAAUGGAAUACACAAAAACAACAAAAACUUCGAAAUCAAGCCAGUAAACCAAACAACUAUUAUUUAUUUAUUAUGUUUCUAUCCUGCUCAUCCUCC